rnacentral:rRNA from 1 species
UACGGAGGAUCCAAGCGUUAUCCGGAAUCAUUGGGUUUAAAGGGUCCGUAGGCGGUUUUGUAAGUCAGUGGUGAAAGCCCAUCGCUCAACGGUGGAACGGCCAUUGAUACUGCAAGACUUGAAUUAUUAGGAAGUAACUAGAAUAUGUAGUGUAGCGGUGAAAUGCUUAGAGAUUACAUGGAAUACCAAUUGCGAAGGCAGCUCACUAAGUCAUAACUGACGCUGAUGCACGAAAGCGUGGGGAGCAAACAGG